AUGUGCUUUAGCAAAACUGACCAAUAUACUAAGUUGACUCACCUCCAACCCCAGCCAAAUUCACCCGAUCCGUCCCAGCUCCCCAAACCCGUCGCCGCCGGAGCCGUUUCGCCCGCGUCCGCCGGCCGGAGCAACUCCUCGUCGUCCCCCUCCUCCCAUCAGUCGUUCCGGACGCAUUUGGCUUCCUUCGUUGUUAAGGAUAAGGAAGCCCUAGCUUGCUUGAAUUCAUCCCUUCCGUUUCCUUUUCUUUUUGCUGCUGAUAACGAACAAUCUCGAAUCCCUCACUUGGGCGCGAUGCAGGGUGGUCCGAUCUUGCCGCGUCGGCCAAGAAGCUCCGUUCUAGGUUUGGACGUCCUCGCAAAGAGGAAACGAGAAUCACAAGGCAGCGACGCAUUCAGGCCUCGUCCCCACAAGGAACAAGUGGCGGCCGAGCAUAGAUCAGGAGAAAUCGCGAGAACCGAUUGCCGCCGCCGAUGGGAAUGGGAAGCUACACCUCGUCGGGAGUACCGUGAUGAUCCACCUGCAUCCCAACGGCAACAUCCGGCACCAUCCCCGUGGGACAAUGUGUAUUCUUUGCCUUCUGCGCCUGUACGCCCUUCUGGCUCCUCAAAAGUGCCUUCUUCUUCGCGCAAUGACACCGAAGCUGGUACAAGGCCCCCAACAGCCGAUGGAAAAUUUAAGGUCACCGAGGAGAUGAUGCAGGAGAUGGAUUACAAUGCUGACCGCACAUGGUAUGGUUGUGAAGAACAUAGCAGUAUAUUCAAUGUCGGUGAUUAUCUUGGAGAUGAUGCUUCCUUUCAGAAUAAGAAGGCAAAAUUGCUCAAGAAGAUGACUCGCCAAGAUGGAAGCCUGAUGACUCUUGCUCAGAGCAAAAGGUUAUCACAGGUAACCGCUGAGAAUGCUCGGUGGGAGGACAGGCAGUUGUUCAGAUCAGGAGCUGUUAGAAGAACAGAGGUGCAGAUGGAGUUCGACGAUGAGGAGGAGCGUAAGGUGAUACUACUUGUUCAUGACACGAAACCCCCAUUCCUUGAUGGACGAGUAGUGUUCACAACACAAGCAGAGCCUGUGAUGCCACUCAAGGACCCGACAUCUGAUAUGGCUAUCAUUGCGCGCAAAGGUUCUCUUUUGGUUAGGGAAAUUCGUGAAAAGCAGAGUAUGAACAAGUCAAGGCAACGCUUCUGGGAGCUUGCUGGAUCUAAGCUAGGAAAUAUUUUGGGUGUUGAGAGAACAGCCCAGCAGGCUGAUGCUGACAGUGCGCUUGUUGGUGACCAAGGUGAUGUUGACUUCAAAGAGAAGCUGAAAUUUUCACAACACUUGAAGGAAAAGGCAGAGGCAGUCAGUGAUUUUGCAAAAUCGAAAUCUCUUUCUCAACAGAGGCAAUACCUUCCCAUAUACACUGUCAGGGAUGGCCUGCUCGGAGUUGUGCGGGAAAAUCAAGUGGUUGUGGUCGUUGGUGAAACUGGUUCUGGGAAGACUACCCAGCUGACUCAGUAUCUGCAUGAGGAUGGAUAUACCAGAACUGGCCUUGUUGGCUGCACUCAGCCAAGACGUGUGGCUGCCAUGAGUGUUGCUCGGCGUGUCAGUGAUGAAAUGGAAACCGUGCUUGGAGAAGAAGUUGGAUAUGCUAUUCGAUUCGAGGAUGUCACGUGUCGUAACACAAAAAUAAAGUACAUGACAGAUGGAGUGCUCCGUGAAACCUUGAAGGAUGCUGACCUGGACAAAUAUCAGGUUAUCAUCAUGGAUGAAGCACACGAGAGAUCAGUGGACACCGAUGUAUUGUUUGGUAUAUUGAAGAAGGUUGCUGCACGGCGACGGGAUUUUAAGCUAAUUGUCACAUCUGCAACACUAAAUGCAGACAAAUUCUCAAAAUUCUUUGGUGGUGCACCUGUAUUUCACAUACCUGGAAGGACAUUUCCAGUUAAUAUCUUGUACAGCAAAACACCAUGUGAAGAUUAUGUGGAAGCGGCAGUGAAGCAGGCCAUCACAAUCCACAUAACGAGUGGCCCUGGCGACAUUCUCAUAUUCAUGACUGGGCAGGAAGAAAUCGAGACUGCUUGCUAUGCGUUUGCUGAGCGCAUGAAACAGCUAAUAUCAUCAUCCACCAAGGUUGUAGGCAAGCUCUCAAUCUUGCCCGUCUAUUCGCAGUUGCCUGCUGACUUGCAGGCCAAGAUCUUUCAGAAGGCAGGAGAGGGCACUCGCAAAUGCAUUGUUGCUACCAACAUCGCUGAGACAUCCCUGACAGUAGAUGGUAUCUUGUAUGUCAUCGAUACUGGGUAUGGAAAGAUGAAGGUAUACAAUCCACGGAUGGGCAUGGACGCUCUUCAGGUUUUUCCAUGUAGUCGAGCAGCCGCAGACCAGCGCGCAGGGCGUGCAGGAAGAACUGGCCCCGGCACAUGCUACAGGCUGUUCACGGAAUCCGCUUACCAGGAUGAGAUGCUCCCUAACCCCGUGCCAGAGAUCCAAAGGACCAACCUUGCGAACGUGGUUCUCUUACUGAAAUCCCUCGAAGUCGAAAAUUUGCUUCAUUUUGACUUCAUGGACCCACCUCCCCAGGAGAAUAUCCUCAACUCCAUGUACCAGCUCUGGCUGUUGGGUGCCUUGAACAAUGCCGGUGGCCUUACAAAUCUAGGCUGGAAGAUGGUGGAGUUCCCAUUGGACCCAACCCUGGCAAAGAUGCUUCUCAUGGGUAAGGAGCUGGGGUGCGUUGAUGAAGUACUGACGAUUGUAUCCAUGCUCUCAGUGCCAUCAGUAUUCUUCCGCCCAAAAGAUCGAGAAGAGGAGAGUGACACUGCAAGGGAGAAGUUUUUUGUACCGGAGUCUGACCAUCUAACACUCCUCAAUGUAUACCUGCUCUGGAAGUCGAACGAAUAUAGCGUAGACUGGUGCAAUGCUCACUUCCUCCAUUUCAAGGGUCUACAAAAGGCUCGGGAAGUGAGAUCUCAAUUGGUGGACAUACUGAACACCCUGAAGAUCCCGCAGACAUCAUGCCAUAGGGAAUGGGACGUGGUGAGGAAGGCCAUCUGCUCAGCGUACUUCCAGAACUCUGCAAGGUUGAAGGGUGUUGGAGAGUACGUCAACUGCCGUAAUGGGGUGCCGUGCCACCUGCAUCCCAGCAGUGCCCUCUACGGUCUCGGCUAA
rnacentral:rRNA from 1 species